UUCUGUGUAUUAAAAUUAGCACUUAACUGGCACAGGCGGGGUUACUGCCUUCAACUGCCACUGUGUUGUAACCGCCGCCCUGCCCGCAGCACCGCCCGGCUAAUGAAUAUUCAUAUAUUGCCUUACUAUGUUGUCUCAUAUCGGCCGAGUCCCGGACGCUACUGCGCAUGUGCGGGAUUUCUCACUACACCCGGAAGCGGUCUUCAGCGCUGCUUCAUUCGUCCGGAGCAGCGCUAAAGUAAGGGUGUAGGCAGUUUGAGACUCGGCCGAUAUGAGACAACAUAGAUAGGACGUUCUCGGCUCCUUGAGACCCCGAGGCCUGUCAGCACAUUUCCACCCUACUACCACUACCUCUUGCUGUUGAUUUGCACAUUAAAUUGUGCUCCAGGCUUCAUGGAGGGAAAUAAAGUUGGCUGAACUCCCAGCUAGAGUGUACAGCAGAAACAGGAAGCCCUGCCAGGGUCCCCGCUGAUCAUCACUUUCUGGUACUCAUCUUGAGAGAGAACCAGGAUGUAGACAUGGAGAGCAUCAGAAAUCCGAGAGGUUGAGACAGGAGCAGGAUGUAGAUACCAGAGGGGGCAUGAUGGGCAUCAGAAAGGCAGCAGCAGGGAAGCUCCUUGGAGGGAAAUAAAGGUAGCUGAACUCCCAGCUAGGAUGUACAGCAAGAACAAGAAGCCUGUUACACGGUGUACACUAGACAGGAAGUGGAGAAAUGAAGACAACAGACCAAACAGUUUACUUCAGAAACAUAAGGAAAGCAUGAAAGAUCACAGAAAACUAGCAAAAUCCCUUUGUUGAAUGAUAAACAGUAUGCUCAUUUAUUAGUCAGUAAAAAAAAUAGGUAAAGUAAAAAAAUAGGUGAAAUUACAGGCAAAAAACUCACAUUCUUACAGUGAAAAUGGAGAAAUGUUCUAUUUGGCUGGGAAUCAUGGGCAUAUAUUUUCCCAUAAGGCAGUUUUUCAUGAAAUUCUAGUAGUGCAGCUUUAUUUUUGACCAUGUUUAUUCAUCUAAAACUGUCACGAAAACAAUACUAUACAGCCAAAACCCCAAAGAAGUCCAUUAAAGUUGACACCUUAAGACUUGAUUUAGAUUUUCAUUUAAAUCAGAGGAAUGUUUGUGGUUGUAGAAUUUGUCAUUUUCACAGCUGUUUAAUUUAUCAUUACUCGGGCUAUUGUAGAAUUCGGGAUUUACACGAGGCGGAGAGUCGCAAAUCUCCCGGCUGGAACUUUAAACAGAUUCUGCUCCAAUUAUUAAGGUCACCUAGGAGGGAGAAGGAAGACUGUGGAGCUCGGAGGCCGUGUGUGGGUUUGUUGGUGUGCGCUAGAAAACACAUUCGGCAAGAUAGAAGGAAGAGAAACCAGUUGAGAAUAAAUAAUAAAUAUAUGAGAAUGAAUAAAGAAAAGAACACAAACGUCA